UGGGGAAUUUUGGACAAUGGGCGAAAGCCUGAUCCAGCAAUGCCGCGUGUGUGAAGAAGGCCUUCGGGUUGUAAAGCACUUUUGUCCGGAAAGAAAUCCUUGGCUCUAAUACAGUCGGGGGAUGACGGUACCGGAAGAAUAAGCACCGGCUAACUACGUGCCAGCAGCCGCGGUAAUACGUAGGGUGCAAGCGUUAAUCGGAAUUACUGGGCGUAAAGCGUGCGCAGGCGGUUUGCUAAGACCGAUGUGAAAUCCCCGGGCUCAACCUGGGAACUGCAUUGGUGACUGGCAGGCUAGAGUAUGGCAGAGGGGGGUAGAAUUCCACGUGUAGCAGUGAAAUGCGUAGAGAUGUGGAGGAAUACCGAUGGCGAAGGCAGCCCCCUGGGCCAAUACUGACGCUCAUGCACGAAAGCGUGGGGAGCAAACAGGAUUAGAUACCCUGGUAGUCCACGCCCUAAACGAUGUCAACUAGUUAUUGGGGAUUCAUUUCCUUAGUAACGUAGCUAACGCGUGAAGUUGACCGCCUGGGGAGUACGGUCGCAAGAUUAAAACUCAAAGGAAUUGACGGGGUCAUAGCUGUUUCCU
rnacentral:rRNA from 1 species